rnacentral:lncRNA from 1 species
AGUCCCGCGGCCGCACGCAGGGAACAGCCGUCCCGGAGCCCUGGGGACGUGCGCGCCUGCGAGUGGACCGUGAAUUCAGUUACCUUGUUCCCUGUUGCUAGUUUCUACGCUAAAUAAGAAGAAGAAGAAGAAAAAGCCAUCUUUAAUACUUAAGGUCCACGCUUCUCAUACAGUACUAGCAUUUAAUGGAUCUCGAAGACAAGGAAAAUGAAGUUAAUGCCCUGGAUGGUAAACCCUACUUUCAUUUACAUACUGUGUGGGCAGAUAGCCGGCUAGUACCCCCAG